rnacentral:rRNA from 1 species
AGAGGUGGCAAACGUUGUUCGGAUUUACUGGGCGUAAAGGGUUCCGCAGGCGGCUUGUGUGUUCGGAUGUGAAAGCUCACGGCUCAACCGUGGAAUUGCAUUCGAAAUCUGGCAAGACUAGAGUACUKKNNNNAGAAGGGUAACCACUUGGUGUAGCGGUGAAAUUCGUAGAUAUCAAGUGGAACACCGGAGGCGAA